GAGUUUGAUUAUGGCUCAGGAUGAACGCUGGCGGCGUGCCUAACACAUGCAAGUCGAACGGAGAAUUAUUGCCGAGGAGACUUCGGUCAAAUCAUAAUAAUUCUUAGUGGCGAACGGGUGAGUAACGCGUGGGGAACCUGCCUCACACCGGGGGAUAGCAGUUGGAAACGACUGGUAAUACCGCAUAAGCGCACAGUAUCGCAUGAUACAGUGUGAAAAACUCCGGUGGUGUGAGAUGGCCCCGCGUCUGAUUAGCUGGUUGGUAGAGUAAAAGCCUACCAAGGCGACGAUCAGUAGCCGGGUUGAGAGACCGGACGGCCACAUUGGGACUGAGACACGGCCCAGACUCCUACGGGAGGCAGCAGUGGGGGAUAUUGCACAAUGGAGGAAACUCUGAUGCAGCGACGCCGCGUGAGUGAAGAAGUAUUUCGGUAUGUAAAGCUCUAUCAGCAGGGAAGAAAGGCUCGAAAGAGAGAUGACG
rnacentral:rRNA from 1 species